CCGUGAUGGUCAGUUGGCUCACUGUAGUAGUGAUAUUACAGUGAAUCCCAUCUAAUUGCUGGAAACCUAAACCACUAUAUGGCAUGGCAAUCAGCAGCGAAGCUCUUAAUAAGAGAACGUUCAACGACUAGGAAUUAUUCCGUACACCCAAGUGGGUGGAAAUGGUGGGUAUCUGUUUUACGACAGAUAAAGAUAUAGUCUGAUCUUGUAUGAAAAUACAAG
rnacentral:ncRNA from 1 species